GGCCGGAGUCGGCGGGCCAGAUUAAAAAGGCCAAUGGGCUGGAUGUGGCCCGUGGGCCGUAGUUUGCCUACCCCUGGCCUAGCUCCUGUCUUAGCACACUAAAGAUAUGGGAGACCAUCAUGGUAUUUAGUUAUUUAGUAUGAGCAAGCCUGUGCUCCAUUUUCACUCAGAGAAAAGGGAUCCAAGUUAGUUUAUAUUCCAUGGGAGGCAAUCGCUGAAUUUUCUAGAACAGUAUGGCUAAAUGCCCAUUGUAAGAUUACCCUGUGAAGGAGCUGACACUCCAUUGUAUAUUUGAUGAGAUUGAAUGAUCUAUCAGUGAUAGAUGCUGCAUAAUGUGAUAUCAGUGUUCAGUCUAAUAAGUGACAUACCUUCUUUUUCUUUUCUUUUUCAAUAAUUGUUUUGUUUAAGAACCCCUGGCACCCAAGAUUUCCUCUGAAAUUGUAAGUGAUUGAAUUUAACCUAAAGACCCUCUACCUUCACUAUGCCUAUAAGGGCCCAGCUGCAAGAGAGAAAGAGAAUGAGGCAUUGAGAGCAAGAGGAGUUCUACAUCUACAUCAUACUGGAAGUUACCAUAACGUUGAAUAUGACAUGACCUAAAAUGCUGAAUAGUCGAAGUCCUGAAAGGCUUCUUCGAUGUUAUCUGCCAUUUCAGCACAAGGUCCUUUGGGCAGCGUUAGAUUGGCUGGCAGCUUGGUGUACUUCUCAUCAAAGUAGCUGACAUCCUCCGGUCCGUUGAGGCUGGGUACGAACGGGGCUGUUGCCUUCCCAUCAAUGAUGUCAUCCCAGGCUGUGUUCUGCAAACAGGCUGCUGUUGUUCCACAUUGGCCUCUUCGUCAUCCUCCUCAUCUUCUGCAGAUUAGAUCUGGUUAAACUGUCUAUGGAAGAUAAAGGCAAAGGAUCACAGGUGCAUGAUGGGAAAGAGACAGCUUCCCACAUUUGAAUCCUGAGUGAGAAGGAGCCAUGUGAGCGAGGGUUUGAUGCUCGGGCCGUGCAGCACUGUAUCUGCAGCAGA